rnacentral:rRNA from 1 species
GACGAACGCUGGCGGCGUGCCUAAUACAUGCAAGUUGAGCGCUGAAGGUUGGUACUUGUACCGACUGGAUGAGCAGCGAACGGGUGAGUAACGCGUGGGGAAUCUGCCUUUGAGCGGGGGACAACAUUUGGAAACGAAUGCUAAUACCGCAUAAAAACUUUAAACACAAGUUUUAAGUUUGAAAGAUGCAAUUGCAUCACUCAAAGAUGAUCCCGCGUUGUAUUAGCUAGUUGGUGAGGUAAAGGCUCACCAAGGCGAUGAUACAUAGCCGACCUGAGAGGGGGAGGGGCCAGAUUUGGGAGUGUACCCGGCCCAAACGCAUACGGAAGGGAGCAGGAGGGAGUCGUAGGCAAUGGUUGACAGUCUGACCGAGACGGGUGGAAGGAGUGAACAAGGGUGUCGGAUCGUAACACUCUGUGGGUAGAGAAGAACGUUGGUGAGAGUGGAAAGCUCAGCAAGAGACGGUAACUUACCAGAAAGAGACGGCGAACUACGUG